rnacentral:tRNA from 5 species
GGGUCUGUAGCUCAGUUGGUUAGAGCGCACCCCUGAUAAGGGUGAGGUCGGCAGUUCAACUCUGCCCAGACCCACCA